AGUGAACGCUGGCGGUAGGCCUAACACAUGCAAGUCGAACGGCAGCACAGUAAGAGCUUGCUCUUACGGGUGGCGAGUGGCGGACGGGUGCGGAAUACAUCGGAAUCUACUUUUUCGUGGGGGAUAACGUAGGGAAACUUACGCUAAUACCGCAUACGACCUACGGGUGAAAGCAGGGGAUCUUCGGACCUUGCGCGAUUGAAUGAGCCGAUGUCGGAUUAGCUAGUUGGCGGGGUAAAGGCCCACCAAGGCGACGAUCCGUAGCUGGUCUGGGAGGAUGAUCAGCCACACUGGAACUGAGACACGGUCCAGACUCCUACGGGAGGCAGCAGUGGGGAAUAUUGGACAAUGGGCGCAAGCCUGAUCCAGCCAUACCGCGUGGGUGAAGAAGGCCUUCGGGUUGUAAAGCCCUUUUGUUGGGAAAGAAAAGCAGCAGGUUAAUACCCCGCUGUUCUGACGGUACCCAAAGAAUAAGCACCGGCUAACUUCGUG
rnacentral:rRNA from 1 species